UUUUUGAAACAUAUGGGUGGUCCUCCAGGAACAGGAUCUUACUACUUUCAUUGGUCUCUUGGAUUAGACCGUUCGCUGACCUUAGGCUUAUAUCUGGUUCCUUCUGAUGGAUUAAUUUAAAGCCAAUUGAUUAGUAACCAAGAAGAGAAGACUGUUUUAACAUAAAUUGAGGCAUAUUUUUAGAACAAAAAUCUAAAGUAAAAAAGUCCUGUUACAUGACCAGUUAUACCUGUAAU